rnacentral:rRNA from 1 species
GACGUAGGGCGCAAGCGUUGUCCGGAUUUAUUGGGCGUAAAGAGCUCGUAGGCGGCUUGUCGCGUCGACUGUGAAAACCUGCGGCUCAACCGUAUGGUCUGCAGUCGAUACGGGCAGGCUAGAAUUCGGUAGGGGAGACUGGAAUUCCUGGUGUAGCGGUGAAAUGCGCAGAUAUCAGGAGGAACACCGGUGGCGAAGGCGGGUC